rnacentral:rRNA from 1 species
CGUAGGGAGCAAGCGUUGUCCGGAUUUACUGGGUGUAAAGGGUGCGUAGGCGGCUUUGCAAGUCAGAUGUGAAAUCUAUGGGCUCAACCCAUAGCCUGCAUUUGAAACUGCAGAGCUUGAGUGAAGUAGAGGCAGGCGGAAUUCCCCGUGUAGCGGUGAAAUGCGUAGAGAUGGGGAGGAACACCAGUGGCGAAGGCGGCCUGCUGGGCUUUAACUGACGCUGAGGCACGAAAGCGUGGGUAGCAAA